UCCAGGGACCGAAGGAGCUCCGGGGUCCCCAGGCUCUGCUGGACCCGAUGGACCCCCGGGGGCACCGGGACUCCCAGGCCCACAAGGCCCCCCCGGGGUCCCCGGGCACGAAGGACCCCCCGGCUCUCCAGGACCCGCAGCGCUCCCUGGCAAACCAGGGCUCCGAGGGGAGCCAGGAUUCCCCGGAUUAAAGGUAAGGGGGUCCCACGUCUUCCACCCACGGACCCCAGGGACGCAGCAGGGGGGUGCCCCAAGCCCCACACCCUGCCCCUGUGGGGUCUGGGGUGCCGUGAGCCCCUCCAUCACCUCCCCACGUGCAGGGUGAGAAGGGCGAGCACGGGCUGCCGGGCAUGCCGGGGAGCCCCGGCCGGCCUGGAGAGAUGGGCUCCCCGGGUAUGCCCGGUCCCAUGGGGCCACCGGGGCCACCGGGGGACUACAGGUGUGAGUCGCGGCACGCAGGGCACCACGGAUCAGCCGGGCCGCCGGGCCCCAAGGGUGAAAAGGGCGACCCAGGAGAGCGGGUUUGUACCGGGGAGGGCUGAAAAGGGGGAGCUGGGGGGGCUUCCUUCAUGCCCCAAGAGCGAAACCUGUGCACUGCCCCACGUUGGGGGGGGCAGAGCCUCCCCACACCGGCAUGGCCAGAGGGACCGGUCAGAGCCCCCAAACCGGGCUGGGACAUGGGGGGGCAGCAAAUCACACCGCCCUGUGUCACAUCCAGAUGCACAGUGCACCCCAGUGCACUCCAGUGCACCCCAGUACACACCAGCACACACCCAUGCACGUCCCCUGCCCCUGCACCCCACACAGGCUCUAACCCUGCCCCUCUCUCUGCCCACCCAGGGGUGCUGCUACGGGGAACACGGGUGCAAACCGGGCCACCUCCCCUUCCCCAGCACUGGCAGCCAGUCCAGCUCCUGGGUGCCCAUCAGCGGGUACCAAACGGUGAGUCCUGGGGGGCUCACGGGGCACGGGGACCCCCGCCCGGCCAUGGGGGGGCUGAACCCAGGUAUCGGCACGACCCACACCACCCCGGCUGCCCCACGGGGCUCAGGGCUGGGACGGAGAGUGGGCAGGUGGAGACCGGCCUCGAUCUUCUCUCUCUUGUUUUUACAGCCCAGCAAAGAGGAGACGGAGGUUUACGGAGCAAUCAUCCCCCACGUGAGAGCCCGCGCCUGCGCGAUGGGGGUGUCUUGCAGCUGCCCCCCAAAAGGCAGCCCCGAAACACCCCAGCCCCAUCUCAGCACUGCUCGUCACCGCAGGGUCCUCGAGGUCCCCCUGGGAACCCCGGUCCCCCCGGCCCGCCCGGCCCCCCCGGAGCCCCGGGUCUCCUCUACCUCAACGUAAGGGGCAGCAGGGGCAGCGCACGCGGCCGUGAGGGUGCCCGGAGCCGGGGGCCCCCUGCUCCUCAGCCUGUCUUUGCUUCCAGAGGGUGUACCCCAUCCGCGCCCAGCCGCCCUGCAAGGAGCCGGCAGCGGCUGACGCAGCCUGGGCAGCAGAUGCUGACGCCUCUCGGACGGAGCCGCCGGAGCCCCGUGCUGACCUCCGGGUGCGUGCCGGGCUGUGCCCGUGGGGUCGGGGUGGCCCCGGGGGUGGCAGCUCGGCCUCGAACCUCUCCAUCCCUUGGCAGCGCCAGACGUGGGUCUUCAGGUCCAAGGAGCUGA
rnacentral:lncRNA from 1 species